CACACAUCAUUUGCAGCAGCCUUCCUAAGUGCCAAGACAGCCAGACUCUUUUGCACUUUCUGAAACAAUUCUCUAAACAUUGCUAAAAAAUUUGUUUUGCUUAAUGUAUAAGUCUCUAAGUGAAGAUAGACGUAGAAACUUCUUUUGAGUACACGAAAAUGGCAAAGUGCAGGCAUGGUUAUUUAUACUCGGCUGUGAAGUGAAAGAAAGAUGGUAAUUUCCAGGAGUAUUCCAUGGUGGAGCCAGUUGCUUCUACUUUUACCAACACAUCAUUCAAUGAAUUCAUAUCAUUUCACAUGGAUCUGGGAAUCAUCUAACACGGUUCGCCCAGAAACUUAUCCAUAUCUAAAGGUCUAUUUACAUAUAUCCAGACAAAUUUUGCCAAUUAUCUUCAUCAUAUAUAUCCAGAUGGCAAAAGAUUUUUUGACAUUUGUUCACCAGAUCAUGUGAAAUGCGGGGUGUUUGAUGUAACAGCUUUC
rnacentral:lncRNA from 1 species